rnacentral:lncRNA from 1 species
UUGGGGCGCUGGGGAAGGGCUUGGUGAUGGCCUGGACGCGUUUUUGAGCGAAUUUUGACACCUUUUUGACUCCAAAUUGGAUUGGGUUUGUUCCUAAGCUAAAAAUUAGACUUGUAACCUAUAAAUACAUGAUGUAAGGCAUAAAAUAGAGGGAGAUUACAUAGAUUAGACUAGAUUAAACACUCUAUUAAAUUAGAAUCUAAACCCUAGUUCUUAAUUAGCCACUGGAGAUUGAAG